GUUGGCUUAGAAGCAGCCACUCAUUUAAAGAGUGCGUAAUAGCUCACUAGUCGAGUGACUCUGCGCCGAAGAUAAACGGGGCUGAAACUUACCACCGAAGCUUUGGAUACCCAUAGGGUAUGGUAGAGGAGCAUCGUAUACGGGCCGAAGCGGAAAUGUGAGUUUCCGUGGACUGUAUAGGAGAGAGAAUGUUGGCAUGAGUAGCGAGAGGCAGGUGAGAAUCCUGCCCGCCGAAAAUCUGAGGUUUCCUGAGGAAGGUUCGUCCGCUCAGGGUAAGUCGGGACCUAAGCCGAGAGCGAAAGCUGUAGGCGAUGGACAACAGGUUGAGAUUCCUGUACCACCGAAAGUCGUUUGAAUGAAGUGGGGACGCAGGAGGAUAGACAGAGCACGCCGUUGGUAGAGCGUGUCCAAGCACGGAGUGUAUCGGGUAGGCAAAUCCGCUCGGUGAAAAGCAUGACGUGUGACGGGGAGGGAAAAUAGUACCGAAGCUGUCGAUUUCACACUGCCAAGAAAAGCCGCUAAUGAGACUGUAGGUGCCCGUACCGCAAACCGACACAGGUAGAUGAGGAGAGAAUCCUAAGGCGAGCGAGAGAACUAUUGUUAAGGAACUCGGCAAAAUGACCCCGUAACUUAGGGAGAAGGGGUGCCUGCGAAAGCAGGCCGCAGUGAAAAGGCCCAGGCGACUGUUUACCAAAAACACAGGUCUCUGCGAAAGCGAAAGCUGAAGUAUAGGGGCUGACGCCUGCCCGGUGCUGGAAGGUUAAGGGGAAGUGUUAUCGAAAGAGAAGCACAGAACUUAAGCCCCAGUAAACGGCGGCCGUAACUAUAACGGUCCUAAGGUAGCGAAAUUCCUUGUCGGGUAAGUUCCGACCCGCACGAAAGGCGUAACGAUCUGGGCACUGUCUCGACAAUAGACUCGGUGAAAUUGUAGUACCGGUAAAGAUGCCGGUUACCCGCAGCAGGACGGAAAGACCCCGUGGAGCUUUACUGUAGCUUGAUAUUGGAUUUCGGCAUUGCAUGUACAGGAUAGGUGGGAGACGUUGAGCUAUGCACGCCAGUGUGUAGGGAGUCGCCGUUGGGAUACCACUCUUGUAAUGUUGAGGUUCUAACCUUGUACCGUGAUCCGGUAUGGGGACAGUGUCAGGUGGGCAGUUUGACUGGGGCGGUCGCCUCCUAAAGAGUAACGGAGGCGCCCAAAGGUUCCCUCAGUGCGGUUGGAAAUCGUGCGAAGAGUGCAAAGGCAGAAGGGAGCUUGACUGCGAGACCUACAAGUCGAGCAGGGACGAAAGUCGGGCUUAGUGAUCCGGUGGUACCGAGUGGAAGGGCCAUCGCUCAACGGAUAAAAGCUACCCCGGGGAUAACAGGCUAAUACCCCCCAAGAGUCCACAUCGACGGGGGUGUUUGGCACCUCGAUGUCGGCUCGUCUCAUCCCGGGGCUGAAGCAGGUCCCAAGGGUUGGGCUGUUCGCCCAUUAAAGAGGUACGCGAGCUGGGUUCAGAACGUCGUGAGACAGUUCGGUCCCUAUCCGCUGUGGGCGAGGGAUAUUUGAGUGGAGCUGCCCUUAGUACGAGAGGACCGGGGUGGACAUACCGCUGGUGCACCGGUUGCAGUGCCAACUGCAUAGCCGGGUAGCUAAGUAUGGAAGGGAUAAGCGCUGAAAGCAUCUAAGUGCGAAGCCCCCCACAAGACAAGAUAUCCUGACCGAAAGGUGAGAGAUCUCUGGAAGACGAACAGUUAGAUAGGUCGGAGGUGGAAGUGCAGUAAUGUAUGGAGCUGACCGAUACUAAUCGAUCGAAAACUUAACCAA
rnacentral:rRNA from 1 species